CAAAAGUUUGGUCCCGGCUUUACUGUCAACUGUAGCUAAACUUACACAUGCAAGUAUCCGCGCCCCCGUGAGAAUGCCCUUGAUCCCCCGCCUGGGGACAAGGAGCCGGUAUCAGGCACAAGCCACACCUUGGCCCAUGACACCUUGCCUCAGCCACACCCCCAAGGGAAUCCAGCAGUGAGUAACAUUAAACUAUAAGUGCAAACUUGACUUAGUUAAAGCUAAGAGGGCCGGUAAAACUCGUGCCAGCCACCGCGGCUAUACGAUGAGGCUCAAGCUGACAGACAACGGCGUAAAGAGUGGUUAGGGAUUACAAAAAAUAAAGCCGAACGCUCUCUAAGCUGUUAUACGCGCAUGCGAGAGUAUGAAGCCCAACUACGAAAGUGGCUUUACUACACCUGAACCCACGAAAGCUAAGAAACAAACUGGGAUUAGAUACCCCACUAUGCUUAGCCUUAAACAUUGAUUGUACCCUACACCUACAAUCCGCCCGGGAAUUACAAACAUNAGUUCAAAACCCAUAGGACUUGGCGGUGCUUUACAUCCACCUAGAGGAGCCUGUUCUAGAACCGAUAACCCCCGUUCAACCUCACCCUCCCUUGUUCCUUUCCGCCUAUAUACCACCGUCGUCAGCUCACCCUGUGAAGGAUUAAUAGUGAGCAAAGUUGGCACAGCCCAAAACGUCAGGUCGAGGUGUAGCGUAUGAGAGGGGAAGANAAUGGGCUACAUUCUCUAAAUUAGAGAACACGAAUGAUGCAUUGAAACAUGCAUGUAU
rnacentral:rRNA from 1 species